GAGCAGGAUCAAUGUACAAUGUAGCUGUAAAGUGCUACAUUGUUUUACUCCCUGCUCAAAAGAAAAGUGUUACCUUCCGAGCCCUGCCUGCUAUGGUACCCAGGCAGCAGGGAUGCUUGGUUUCAUACAG
ensembl:snoRNA Gm25852 predicted gene, 25852